ACAGAGCAGAGUCAUACUGUCCAAUCAGGGGGCAAUUGGGUGUCACAUGGUUUGAACCUCAAGAUGGACGCUGGCUCAAUUGCUACUCAGUGGAGUUCCUUUUUAGGCAAGUACGCGCACUUUUAAUUGAGUGUUAAGCUCUGCCGCCAGUCACCCUUGUUAAAGACAGAGCCUCCAUUUAGAUUGAAGUCAAGGCAAACCCAUCGGCUGUGACCGAUUUGGUUACUGCUCUCCAUGAGUAUCCAGAAAUGAAGAUUAACUGGAGGGAGGAUGGGUUUUGUAUAAAGCUGCAGUGUGGCAGUUGCCAGAGGAACCUGCCUCUGGUGGCACAGGGAGCAUGAAGCUACACAGCUGAGAUGCUGAAGAUCAUCACCAACAAUGGGAAACACGCACUUUAUAUUGGCCCUCUUCAAGAGCAAAUUGACACUAUGCCCCUUCUUCAUUAAGCUAUGGACAAGUCCACGAGGGUCCGCACUGAUGGUCCACAGCAACAGCCCCGACUGCGAGAGCCUAAGGCAUGUAAUGAAACACCUGGGAGAACCUGCUGCUUGCUCUGGAAGAGAAAUGUGACUGAGGCAAAGAUAGACGGUGCUGAGAACGUCAUCAAGUCCAGACCUCAGAGCUGCACAACCCAGUGAAGAUGACCUGAAACUGUACAGAUGAUGUAGUAGAUCUGGAUGUCCAGACAACACUUCUGAUGGCUUGAUGGCAAUGAUCCUGUCUGACCAGCACAGUGAUGAACUUAUUAGUCUUGCCUUUUCUUGGGACUUGCCCCCAGUAAAUUGGAGUUGGAUACUACUUCAAUGUGUGGCAAUCCUCAAUCAGAUACCUGGCCAUGGAAUAACAGUGAUGACAAUCAUCCAUACACACCACUCCAUCCCAGCUCAGCUUUUUAGCAUAACAAGAAUGUGCAUAGUACCUGGAUGGAAAGCUGCGUUUCUUUGCAGCUUCAAGGGCGAACUCCAGAGCCGUGGAUGCCUUGUUAUUAUUGGCUGUUGGGAGGAACAGGAUCUGUGAUAAAUUCAUUGUUAACUCAAGAGGCUACUCAAAGUUGUUUACAAGUAACUAUCAUACUUUGCUGUUUUUCUUAAGGCAUUUCAAUGAAUUAAAAUUUACAUUAUAAAUAAAUUCUGGGUAC